UUUUAAAAAAAAUAAGAAAUUAUACCUAACUAGUUCGCUUUUAACUUAAAAAAAAAACUUCAAAUAUCACUUCUGUAGUUUCGUACUUUUUUACUUUAGUACCUUAUAGUUUAAAGCGUAUUAAUUUAGUAUCCUGUGGUUUCGCACUUUCUCACUUUAGUACCCUGUGGUUUAAAGUGCACCAAUUUAGUACCCUGUGGUUUUAUUUUUCUCGUUUCGCCGGCUUCUUUGUUCAUAUUUUGUUAAAUUAUACACAAAAAAUCUCAUAUACCUUAUCUAGGUUUAUCGAAUAUUUACUUUAGUUUCCUUUAUUUUUAACUCUAUUAUUGAUUUUUUUUUCUCCGUUAAUAUUUUGUUAAAUUAUAUACAAAAAACUUCAUAUACCCUACAUAGGUUUAUCGAAUAUUCACUUUAGUACCCUUUAAUUUUAACUUUGUCACUGAUUUAACGAAAAAAAUUAGUGAAAUGGAUAAUAAAAAAAAAAUAAAACCAUAGGGUACUAAUUUAAUACACUUUAAACCAUAGGAUACUAAAGUGAGAAAGUGCAAAACUACAGGGGCUAACUUGAUACACUUUAAACCACAUGGUACUAAAGUGAGAAAGUGUGAAAUCACAAGGGGGGUAUUUGAAGUUUACCCCUUAAUUAAAGAACAAAUUUAUAAACCAUUUCUCAAAUUACAAAACUUGAUUACAAAUUUAAAAAAUGAUAUUUGAAAGAAAGAUGAAGCUAUUUCAUCUAUUAAUAAAUAAAUUAAAAACAUACAAUAUAAUUUUCACAUACUCUUUGGUAGCAUUUGGUUCAGAAACAAGGGGGAAAUAAGCCCUUGUUCCCCCUAUUGUUUCCAAACGUAGUGUUUGGUAUCCGAGAGCAAUAAUUCUUAAAUUUUUGGAAUAAGCCGGUAUAAAGUUGGAAUUGUUGUUCCACCUUUUUUCUGGAACAAGCUUGUUGCAAUGUGAGAAUAAGAUUAAUUAAACUCUAAAAAUAAUUUUAAUUAUAGUAUUAAUUAAUUAAUUAAUUAAUUUAAUAUAUUUAAAAUAUUAUUUAAUACUUAAAUAAUAAAAUAAUUUAUUAAUUUAUUAUUAUAAUUAUUAAUUAAAUUAUUAUUAUUUAUAAUUAUUAAUAAUUACUUAAUUUAUUAAUUUAUUAAUUUAUAAUUAACUAAUUUAUCAUUAAUUUAUUCUUAGUUAAUUAAUUUAUUAAAAUUAUUAUUUAUAAUUAUUAAUAAUUUAUGAUUAUUAAUUAUUUAAUUUACUAUUAAUUAAUGUAUUAUUAUUUAUAAUUAUUAUUAAUUUAUUAUUUAUACUAUAUUAUCUAAUUAAUUUAUUAUUAAUAAUUUAUUAUUUAUAAUUUAUUAUCUAAUUAAUUUUUUAUUAACUACUUAAUUUAUUAUUUAUAAUUAUUUAUAAUUUAUUAUUUAAUUAUAAUUAUUUAAUUAAUUUAUUUUUAUAAUUAUUAAUAUUAAUUUAUUAUUUUAAAGUAAUAUUUUGAUGUUUUUUAAUUAGAUAAAAUAUUUUUAAUUUAAAAUUAUAACUCUUAUUUCUUUUGUUCUAAUCUAGCCAUCCAAACACUAUUUAUCUUAUUCCUAGGACCCAAUUUUCAUCCGAAUGCAAAAUUGGUCUAGUUCCUGCUUAUACCUAAACUCGUACCUAUCCCUGAAAUAAGCAGUUUUUAUUCAUACCCGAACCAAACGCAGCCUUUAAAUUUAACUAAUUAUAUUCAUUUUUAAUUGAAUAUUUAAUUUUUCAAAAUUUUAAUUUUACUAUUCAAUAUUUCUAAUGUGUUAUUAGAUUUGAUUCAGUCAACGAUAUUUUGAUUUUAAAAUAUAAACACAUUAUUUAUUUUUACAAAUUUAAUUCUUAUACUUUAUUAAACUAUAAAUUUAUAUUAAAAUAAAUUAUUAAUUUAAAUUUUGAACUUAAAAUAUCGUUUCUAACAACUCAAUCCAUAGUUUCGAUAAAUUAUGUAUAUAUAUAUUUUUUUAUAUUUUAUUUUUUUGAAAAUAUUUUACUCAAAAAUUAAAGUGUCGUGGCACGAAGUCGUGCGGAAACUUGCUAGCACGGUACGACACAAUGCUUGUUGGACAGUGUUAAUGCAUGCCAGUCAAAAAAAUAAAUGUAUGCCGACACGUAAUGACGUAAAUUUUUUUUUAAUAAUAAAAUAUGUCAAUUAUUUAUUAUAUAUUUUUAUCAAAUUUUUAAAAUUUUAUUAAGAAAAUUAUUUACUAAUUUCAAAAAUAAAAGAUUUUGAAUUGUGUUAUCGGUACGAAAACUGUAUUAUAUCAAUAUCUUACUGAUAUGAUAUGGUACGAUGGAUAAAAUUUGUGUUGAUGGA
rnacentral:lncRNA from 1 species